CCUGUGUUUCAGAUUGACGAGGUGGCCAACAUUAACGACAUGGAUGAGUACAUUGAGCUCUUGUAUGAAGACCUUCCAGACAAGGUCCGGGGCUCGGCCUUGAUCCUACAGCUUGCUCGAAAUCCUGAUAACCUGGAAGAGCUAUUAUUAAAUGUCUUCUUUGAAGCUUUUCUCAUUUUCAUGGACUCAUCACUCACUAUAAAAUUGGAGCACUGUGUAUGAAUAUCAUUGAUCAUGAGUUAAAAAGACACGAGCUUUGGCAAGAAGAACUUUCUAAGAAGAAGAAAGCUG
rnacentral:lncRNA from 1 species